AACGAACGCUGGCGGCAGGCUUAACACAUGCAAGUCGAACGCAUCCUUCGGGGUGAGUGGCAGACGGGUGAGUAACGCGUGGGAACGUGCCCUUCAGUUCGGGAUAACCCAGGGAAACUUUGGCUAAUACCGGAUACGCGCGAGAGCAGAAAGAUUUAUCGCUGAAGGAUCGGCCCGCGUCUGAUUAGCUAGUUGGUGGGGUAAUGGCCCACCAAGGCGACGAUCAGUAGCUGGUCCGAGAGGAUGAUCAGCCACAUUGGGACUGAGACACGGCGCAAACCCCUACGGGAGGCAGCAGUGGGGAAUAUUGGACAAUGGGCGCAAGCCUGAUCCAGCCAUGCCGGGUGAGUGAUGAAGGGCUUAGGGUUGUAAAGCUCUUUUAGUAGGGAAGAAGCGAAAGUGACGGUACCUGCAGAAAAAGCACCGGCUAACUACGUGCCAGCAGCCGCAGUAA
rnacentral:rRNA from 1 species